GAUGAACGCUGGCGGCGUGCCUAAUACAUGCAAGUCGAGCGACCGGACGAGAAGCUUGCUUCUCUGCUGUUAGCGGCGGACGGGCGAGUAACACGUGGAUAACCUACUUAUAAGUCUGGGAUAAUUUCGGGAAACCGGAGCUACUACCAGAUGAUAUUUUGAACCGCAUGGUUCAGAAGUGAAUGACGGUCUUGCUGUCUCUUAUAGAUGGUUCCGCGCUGCAUUAGCUAGUUGGUAAGGUAACGGCAUACCAAGGCAACGAUGCAUAGCCGACCUGAGAGGGUGAUCGGCCACACUGGAACUGAGACACGGUCCAGACUCCUACGGGAGGCAGCAGUGGGGAAUCUUCGACAAUGGGCGAAAGCCUGACGGAGCAAUGCCGCGUGAGUGAUGAAGGUCUUCGGAUCGUAAAGCUCUGUUAUUAGGAAAGAACAGAUGUGUAUGUAACUGUGCACAUCUUGACGGUACCUAAACAGAAAGCCACGGCUAACUACGUG
rnacentral:rRNA from 1 species